GCAUACUGUGAGAGUCUGUGUAGGAGAUAGAUAGAGUGAUUUCGUUUUACAGUCUCUGUGGAUACGAUACUCGAUUGCUGUUUAUACUACGAUUACACCGUGUUAGUUGCGGUAUUUUUGUUGCUAAUAAAAUAGUGAUCAACUUUUUGGCGCCGUUGCCGGGGACUGUUUAGAUUUUGCUUUAAUAUUUCCAAUAGGACUUUAUAGUACUGCAAGUUUUUUUUUGUUUUUAUUUUUCUUUUCUGAUCUUUUUGUUGUUUCUGUAGGUUGCAUAUGAACACACGAUCUCACGGAAAUCCUCUAUUUGAGUUUGACCCUGAAAUCAAUAAAACCUUGCGCAACCUAAAGAAGCAGAACGAUCAAGUUGAGACAGAAACGAUGGCUACUCCAGAGCAAAUCCAAAUUCGAGCUUUGCAAGAGCAGUUGAAGAAGCUGCUUGAUGCACAGGAGACAAGAGAGGCUCGGAAACAAC
rnacentral:lncRNA from 1 species